rnacentral:rRNA from 1 species
UCUUCCACAAUGGGCGAAAGCCUGAUGGAGCAACGCCGCGCGGGUGAAGAAGGUCUUCGGGUCGUAAAGUUCUUUCGACAGGGAAGAAAAUGCCUAUAAGUAACUGUGUAUGUAUUGACGGUACCUGUAUAAGCAGUCCCGGCUAACUCCGUGCCAGCAGCCGCGGUAAUACGGAGGGGGCGAGCGUUGUUCGGAGUGACUGGGCGUAAAGAGCACGUAGGCGGUGUUGUAAGUCAUUAGUCAAAGACUAGAGCUCAACUUUAGUAAGGCUAGUGAUACUAUAAUACUAGAGUAUCAGAGAGGAUUGCAGAAUUCCUGGUGUAGCGGUGAAAUGCGUAGAUAUCAGGAGGAAUACCGUUAGCGAAGGCGGCAAUCUGGCUGGAAACUGACGCUGAGGUGCGAAAGCGUGGGUAGCAAACAGG